CAUGGCGGAGGAGGUGGGCAUCGGGCGACACCGCCCGGUGCGAUCCCUCCACGCUCUCCUACCCUUGUCUAUUGGCACCCUUUGUCGUUCCCUCGGCGGGUCCUGAAUCCGCCGACGGGCAACUUUACAAAACCUUUUUUUUGCACUUAGCAUCUGAUCAAAACGUUUAAAUCGUUA
rnacentral:misc_RNA from 1 species